rnacentral:rRNA from 1 species
UGGCGACCGGCGCACGGGUGAGCAACGCGUAUCCAACCUGCCCUUUACUAUGGGACAGCCCGUCGAAAGGCGGAUUAAUACCGUAUGUUGUCAUGUUGAUGCAUAUUUUCAUGACCAAAGGCUUCGGCCGGUAAAGGAUGGGGAUGCGUCUGAUUAGCUUGCCGGCGGGGUAACGGCCCACCGGGGCGACGAUCAGUAGGGGUUCUGAGAGGAAGGUCCCCCACAUUGGAACUGAGACACGGUCCAAACUCCUACGGGAGGCAGCAG